GUUCAGUCCCGCCUCAAAUGUGACACAAAGCAAGGAUAUUAAAUGUAACUUUCAAGCUGGCUCAGCUGCUUUGAUGGGUACAGUUAUAAGUCUGCUGGUCUCAACCAAGCAAAGCUGGUCAUAUUCAUCUGUACACAAGCUACUUCAGACUUCUUUGCAGAACAGAGAAUGAAAUCUGCAAGAAAGAUCUCCCCUCAGCAUAGAACUCUCACCUCAGAUUUCUGCACGCAUCUGCUACACCAAAAUCUUGCAUGCAAACACCUGUGGGUGUGGGCAUUUGUUGACAGCCAGA
rnacentral:lncRNA from 12 species